CUUUUAGUAGUUAUUCCUUCGAUGCUGAAUUGUUUCCUCCAAUCGAUACAAGUCACAUUCGCCCACUAAAUGCGCAUGCGUGUUUUCCAGGAAGAGCAAAUAUGAUUGGACAGAUUCAUGGGGCGCCGUGCCAAAUCUCGCGAGAAUGUUGAUGAGACAGAUCCACAUCUCAAAAUUUAGAUAAAGUUGAUUUUCUCCUUGUAUGUCCAUCUGAAAAUAGCCAUUUUUGGCUAUGUGUAACUUUCAAAGGAAGGCAAUUCAGAAAAUUCACGCCUUCUAUCAGACAGCGGCGGACAUGACGCGUUGUUUGCCAUCAACGUCAGAAGAAGAAGAAGCGGGAAAACAGUAGGUGGCGUAACAUUUUAACGUUGUGUGCGCCGACCUCGAACGAAAACGAGGAAGAAGAAGAAAGAGAAGAAGAAGCGGGAACGUUUUUGGAAACGACAACCACAACGCUUGUGACAGAAGACUUGGAGAGGAUGGACAAAAAGAAAAUGACAACAUAAGAGGUUAAGAGUUCCCACAAAGAAAAUGAAGGACCUGCACAAUUCUCCUCCCCCAAAUGAGCAAUCUGGGUGUUUGGCCUUCGUCAGAUGGGAGGACGGUUAUACCGGCAAAAUCUUUACUGGAGCAGACAUUUUGUCAAGAGAUGAA